UUUUUACGGGAGGCAGCAGUGGGGAAUAUUGCACAAUGGGCGCAAGCCUGAUGCAGCGACGCCGCGUGAGGGAUGACGGCCUUCGGGUUGUAAACCUCUGUUAGCAGGGAAGAAGAGAGAUUGACGGUACCUGCAGAGAAAGCGCCGGCUAACUACGUGCCAGCAGCCGCGGUAAUAAAA
rnacentral:rRNA from 1 species